rnacentral:rRNA from 1 species
AUUGAACGCUGGCGGAAUGCUUUACACAUGCAAGUCGAACGGCAGCACGGGAGCUUGCUCCUGGUGGCGAGUGGCGAACGGGUGAGUAAUAUAUCGGAACGUGCCUUGUAAUGGGGGAUAACUAGUCGAAAGAUUAGCUAAUACCGCAUACGCCCUGAGGGGGAAAGCUAGGGAUCUUCGGACCUGGCGUUGAUGGAGCG